UGCAGGCGUGCGCUCUCUUUUUCGUUCCCUUCGCUGAGGGCGGCGAGCGACAGUGUUGAUUUCGCUGCGCUAAGCCAGAUUGUGUCUGAUGCACCAGCCCGGGGAGGCGGCCUUUGCUUUGCUCCCGCCGGAUGGCCAGCGGGGCUAAAUCUCUAGUGCCUCUUCCGUCUUCUGCUUCUCAGGUCCAGUGAGCAACAUGUGCUGGGGACCCGGCCUGGGAGAGCGAUGCCAGGCGCGGCUCCAGAGUAGAACCAGCAGGAAGCACCAAUGCUCUGGUUACGAACCCACUGUGUCCAUUGCCCUUUCUGACCCUAGUGGAGGUGGCAGCGGUCCAUGACAGCAAGGGUGGAGCCUGGGAGACCUGGCUCACUGAGAGAAAGGUGACAUGGUGACCUGAAGAGUCUUGGAAAGAGAGGACACUGCCCUGGUUAACAAGCCACUUGUGAGCCACUACUAGGAGAGAGUGGAACUAUUACGUUGUCCAUAAACAUAGACUUGAGGAUCUUUUAAAGGUGAAGGAGUUGUCAAUGUCAGCACGAAGCAGAAGUUGCCCUGUGAAGUAGCAGAAAGCUCCUGUUAAUAUUGUGAACAUUUGUCAAAGUGACAGCAAAAUAUCCUGAGUCUAGGCUGUUGUAUCCACAUUGCUCUGCUCUGACUUGAUGGUCAAACUUCCCUCUUUCUGUGUGGAAUAAGAAAUACUGCAUGUCCUGCCUCCUUAAGACAUGCCAUGGAGCUUUAGUAAUUUCUUCUCUCAAAGCUCAUGAGCCAUUUCAGUGGAAGGGAUUGACCAUCUAUGAAUCUUGACCUCUUUUUAUGCAGUAACAUACUAUGUCUAGUGUUCUUGUGUCCGUAAUGGCUGUAUUCACCCCAUGCAAGCUGGGUUCAACCCACUGCUGUAAUGUGGAAGGUUCUUAUGUACUAAAAAUCAUUAAAAGUACUGAGGUAACUUCUUAAA